rnacentral:rRNA from 1 species
UACCGGCGGCUCGAGUGGUGGCCGCUAUUACUGGGCUUAAAGCGUCCGUAGCUGGGUUGUUAAGUCUCCUGGGAAAUCUACCGGCUCAACCGAUGGGCGUUCAGGAGAUACUGGCAACCUAGGGACCGGGAGAGGUGAGGGGUACUCCAGGGGUAGGAGUGAAAUCCUGUAAUCCUUGGGGGACCACCUGUGGCGAAGGCGUCUCACCAGAACGGCUCCGACAGUGAGGGACGAAAGCUGGGGGAGCAAACCGGAUUAGAUACCCGGGUAGUCCCAGCCGUAAACGAUGCGCGUUAGGUGUGUCGGUGACCACGAGUCACCGAGGUGCCGAAGGGAAACCGUGAAACGUGCCGCCUGGGAAGUACGGUCGCAAGGCUGAA